CUACAAAGGCUUUCUGAAGGAACGUCUGGAUGCUCUUGGUAUGGAGAAUCCUGUCUACGAAACUGACCAAAAAAAGCCCCCUGAAGACGCAAGAAGCUCCAGCACCAGCAGAGAUGCAGAACAUAUAUCCAGCACACAGCCAGGACAACACGGACAAGAGAAUACUAGCCUUCAAUCAAAGGACAGUCUUGCUGUUGUCCAGCCUCCACCCACAGUACCCUCAGACUGUCCUGCUGUCGGGCUAAAGACAGAGGCUCGGGACUCCAGCCCUGCACCCAGACCAAGAGAAGUGAACAUGGAUGAUCGCACAGGCAACCUCUUUUAUGGCACCGUGACUGUGGUCCUCAGCAAAGACGUUUGCUCUGAUGGGUUUGUAAAAGAGGAUGAAGCCAUUGAAUCAGCGUACAUAAAAGUAGGCCGUCAGUUUGGCCUGAAUGAUCCUGGUACUGGUAAUACUUUCAGGACAGUGGUCUUGGAACAUUUGACUAAGUGUGGUAUUCAACCACCAUCGGAAAUCACAAGUCAACAGAAUGAUAGGAACUUCUGCAAACUUCAUUUUACCUUUUAUGAUGAAGAUGGCUCCACAACGAAGAAAAAAGCGGAACAGCAAGCGGCUAAGGUUGCACUACAACAGCUGUCUGGGUUCUUCAACUGCAGUUCUGAUGCGGUUCCUGAUGAAAACUACAAAGGCUUUCUGAAGGAACGUCUGGAUGCUCUUGGUAUGGAGAAUCCUGUCUACGAAACUGACCAAAAAAAGCCCCCUGAAGACGCAAGAAGCUCCAGCACCAGCAGAGAUGCAGAACAAAUAUCCAGCACACAAACACAGCAACAAGGAAAAGAGAAGGACAGUGUUGCUGUUGUGCAGCCUCCACCCACAACACCCUCAGACUGCACCAUCGGACUGACAACAGAGAGUCGGAACUCCAACCCUUCGCUCAUACCGAGAGAAGUGGACUUGGAGGAUCAUACAGAGAUCAAAUCCCUUCUGGCCGUGUAUCAUCUCAAGCCGCCAUCUGUAACAGUAGGGCGCAUUAGCACUGAUCAGAAUUUCAGCGUCACAAUGAACAUCAACUUGGAUAAAUUCACCUUUAAGAACAGCAAUGUCUACACCUCUAAGAAAGAUGCCAUACGCAAAACCUAUCAUUUACUCGGGCGUGCGUUGGGAGUUUUCCAGCAAGACACAGAUGAAAGUAAGGCAACUAUGUUGGUGAAGCAAGAUUUUUCACAGAAGGUCUCUCACUCAUCCUAAGGAAGACAUUAAGGGUGAUAAGAAUUUCUGCUGCUCCCUUACAGAGAUAACAUACAGUUUAGUCUGUGAUGGACAAGGCUCCUCAGAGGCCGAGGCAAGACAAGAUGCUCUGCAGAAAGCCAUUUGCACUCUGCCCUUGCUCUUCGGCCAUGAGGCUUUGCCUGCAUCCAGCAGCACUGAGGAAACUGAAUUUCAGAUUAAUACCUUACUGAGAAAUGCUUGUCAGAAAGAUCUCGCUUUCUCUCUCAGACCUAACCAGCACAAGAUCUCUGUUGACCUCCGAUUCAAAGACUUCACCAUGGCUAGCAAAAGCCAAAGGAACAAAAAGGAAAAUCGCAAUCUUCUCAGCAAACGCAUUCUGGGCCUGCUGGGGGAGGAGACAGAACCAAACUGUCCGUCGUUAAGAAACUGCUUAGACGACUGGUUUAAACAAAGAAAUCUGCAGCAGCCUGUGUUUGAGGAUACGGAGGAGGCACAAGGAUCUAAAGCUACUUUUUCUGUUGAACUGUCCUGUAGUCAUCCAGACUGGCAAGACAGCCUGGAGAAAGCGAAAAAAAAUCUGGUCCAGGAGCUUGAGAAAAGGUUUAAGUAUUUGAUUGACCAAAGCAAACAGGAUUAAUGUCAUCUAGUAUGUACUACCAAGCUGAUCUUAAAUGUACUUUUUCUGAUGAAAAAGGAAGCUUUUAGGAUCUAUGCACUUUAAGUAGGGUAUGAACAAACUUCACGAAAAACACAAGGCUUAUGUGAGGUACUUACAGCUAUAAUCUGGAUUCAUUACUUCUGGACUGGAGUUUUUAAAACCUGUAUCAAUUAGGAGGCAGUUUUAGUAACAUUUGAGACCAAAUCUUUCAGAUGUUUGCCAGUUAGCCCAUCAAUGUCAUUAUCUGAAAAUUUUACAUUCACUUAGGUCUCUAUUUUGUCUGAAUUUGCCUGAGCACAAAUCAGAACAAGCUCUGGCAUUUUUACUGAUCAUGCUAAAUUUAGUUGUUGGACAUAAAUAGGUUGCAUUGCCUAAAAGUGCUGCACUUAAUUACAUUUUUUUUUUUAAACAAUAAUGGUUUUUAAAGCAACAUGAAACACUAUUAUGCACUUUCUUUACAUUUUAAGGGUGAGGUUCUAACUUUAGUUCAGUGAAAUAUUACACGGGGUUUAAAAUUUAGGAGCAUGUUUUUGAUUCACUCCAGCAGGGGUGCACAACUCGGUCCCGAAGGACUGGUGUCCAGCAUAGUUCGGUGGUUCCUCUAUUCAAACACACUUUCUAAACCUGGCAAUUGACAGAUGAGUUGAAUCAGGUAUGUUUGAGCAGGAACAUAACCAAACUGUACUAGAUGCCACCCCCUCUCUAGGGCCAGAUUUGUGUACCCCUGUACUACAGGAAAUCUACUUACCAUAGCUCUGAACAUCAAUCACACACAUUGGUGUGAAGUGUGAUCUUUUAUGAGCAGUGCUUACCAACCCUUGUCCUGGAGAUCCAUCUUCUUGUGGAGUCUAGUUUCAACCACAGCUCGUCACACAUGCUUCAGCUAAUUCGCUUCUUCAGAAGUGCUUGAUUGGCUGGAUCAGCAGCAUUAGUGUUAGGUAAGGGGAGGGUUGCAUGGUAGAUUCAGAUUAGAAGUAAACUUUGCAGGAGAAGUAAACUUUGCAGGAGUGACCACUGUUUUAAAAUAUGCAUUUGUGUACUGUAUGAAUUCCAGCACUUAACUCUUUCUUACCUUGUGACAAUGUACAUCGUUAAGUCAUGGGUACAUAUUUAUUUUUUUACCAGCUUCAUCUUAUGUCCACUUUGAGCUGGAUUACUUUUCCCUGGGGAGCUUCUGUAAUUUAAGUCAUUGCAAGCGAGAUCUGUGAUUUUAAUGCAGUAUGAAUGUGCACAAACAAGUAUGACAGUAAUAAUUCUGGAGUGGACAGCCUGGUCUAUUUUUGUCUCAUCUAACCAUAGAAACCAGUUCCAUUCAAAGUUUAAGUAGUGUCUUGAGAACUCCAGGUGCUUAUAUAUGUAGCUUUUUCUGGCAUGCCUUUCAAAACUUUGUUGGCUUGGUGGCAUCAUAUUGUCGUUCUGGUGCCAUGAUAAACCCAAAAUCCUCAAAUGUUCUGCAAAUCUCCAGUCAUGACCUUUGGAGAUUUUUUUUUUCCUCUUUAACCAUCCCCACUGUUUGUGGGGGCAAAAUAGACUUGCAUGCUCAUUUCAGUUUACUUAAACUAAAUUUACUUCAGUUAAUCUUUCGCAUUUUUCAAUGUGGUUUAUCAACCACAAAGACAUUUUUCAUGACUAAUCUUUAUAAAGAGUGCCAGUAAUUAUAGAGCUGACUGGCUGUGACCUUUCAGUCUGGGCUAUCUGUGGUCAUUUGGGAAAUUACUCAGAGGCUGCAUCCAAAACUGCAUACUACCAUACAAAAUAGUACAUCAAAAUAGUACACCUCCAUUAUUAAUACAUUCAUGUACAUACAUAGUAUGCAUAGCAUAGUAUGUGGGGCUGGACUUUGGCCUCAUGCUUUAUCAUGUACUAAUUGGUCAGUCAAUUCUCUUAUAAAAUAUAUUACAGAAACUGCCCUACAUGAAUGCAGCUCAAAUAAAGCUUUAGAUGAUGAAGCUUCAUGUCUGAAAUAUGUCUUUUGGUAACUCCUGGAAUUUAGGUAAACUGUUUAAGCUUUGAUGAGAGACUGAACAUUUGACUGUCACUUUUGAACAUCAGACAUUUUCCUAUCCUGUGUCUGUAGAAGAUUAGUCUUAAUCUGGUAUUUGCUGUCAAGUAUGGAGUGGAGUAACUAUGCAAACUACUAACUCAAACAAACAUGAAUAUACUUUUUACAAAUCUUUACAAACAUGGUGGGUUAAAUGUCAUGAUUUCAUUUUAAAUGUCAUGAACAUUUUGUGAAAUUGUUGAACUGUGAGGAGGUUACAUUAUGUAUUUGCCAACAUUUUUGCUCACUGUCACAUUUGUGGAAGACAUACUCUUUUCCAUUCCUAAAUAUUUGAAGUGUUGGCUGGUGGCUAACACCAUGAGUUGCUGAGAAAACAGAAAUAAACGAUCAUGGGGA